CCAUAAAAUGCUUUUCACCUACCAGUCAAAAUUUAGAUACUAAUAACAGUUUGCUAUUAUUCAAUUGCAGUUUUCUUUACUGUUACUUAUUUACUAUCUAUGUACUCAAAACUCAUAAAUAGUAAAAUAUAUUUAUACUGAACUUGCAAAAACUUUUAGCUACAUCUAAUAAUAGUUGUGCAGGAAAAUAAGAAGUUGGACAUGUGAAGUGGGGAACUGAGAUAUUCCAUCACGAUGUGGACUCCAAGACGGCAGCGCCGAACUCCAUUGGCCCAACUCUGUUUAACCACAGCUCACCUCCUGCCAAUCAACCCAUACAACAAUUUAUUCAUUAUCAAUGUAUGCUAAGAACCAUUAAACCAAUCACAAUAUAUAAUUAACAUUUAAUUACAAAUAUAAAGGAUACACACAUACUCACAUGUCACAUCUCAUACUUCGCACGUAUAUAUGCACACAUAAACACACAAACAUGUAUCCUUUUUUCUCUUUCCCCUCUCUCUCUCUUCUCUCUCUAUCUCUCUGCUUUAGAUCUCAGUCUCAUCAGGUCUUAUCUGCUUAGUAACUGGCUUCCACGAUCUGGUUACAUGUAUAUAUGUCAUUCCCUUUUUGCAAAUCAAAAUUUUGUAUGGUUUAAUCUUAUUUUGCUGUUUUGGCUGUAUAUAUCAGAGGGUGUUUUUUACAUCCCCCUCUCUCAUCUCUAUCGCUUAGGGUUUCGCUUCUUCUGUGUUUUAGUUUUGUUUUGUUCCAAUUAAGUAGAAGAGAGUAAAAUUCCGUAAUUUUUUUACUUCUCAUCUAAUCAUACCAAGCCAUUUCGAAUAGUUCGUCAAGUUUCUCCUCUCAUAUGUAUAUAUAUAUAUAUGUAUUGUAUAUGCAUAACUAUGUAUUUUGUACAAGUCUCUAGGCCUCUAGGGUAUAAACGAGGAGGCUAAGUAUUUACUAGUGUAAGUAGUUAGUCACAAAAAUUGAGUUUGAGUUUUGAGUUUGUGAGACAAAUCAACAUUACUAUAAGAAGAUUGUUAAACAAAACGGAAGACCAGUCUCCGGAGCCACGGUCGUUGUUUGCUGCUGUGGCAUCAUCAAGAUUCACAUCGCCAGAUGGACGGUGGUGAUUCACCCUCCCCAAAGUUCUCUGAUGAAAAUGAGAAUCUUGAUGAUGCUGCAUCGGAAAUCAACGGCUAUUCUUUCCCUCUCUCCUAUAUAUAUAUGUUUAAUAUAUACUUCAUUCGAACCAGAUCUUCUUCAGGUAGGUUUGUUUCUGCUUUAAGUUCCUUUCUUUUUGUUUCACGUUUAUGGUAACCGAUUCUCCCCAUUUUUAAUUUCUUAAUAAUUACAAUGAUUUCACCAAGAACUCUUGUGGGUAUUUUGUUUCAUCUGAUGUGGUAACCUUGAAUUUGAUUUAGGAUCUAAAGUUUUUUGGCAGUCAUUUUCAUGUUGGUAACACGAGGGGAUUCACAAGAUUCUCUAUCAAUAGGUUGACAAGGAUCACAACAUCAUUAAUGGAUCUAAUUAAGGUAAUUAAUAUAUGUGAUUUCUUUUGUUACCAUUCUAAUCUUGCAUUUCCAUAUCAAGAAAUAUUCUUUCUCAAGAAAGUAAAUAAUUAUAUUGAAGUUGAGAUAAUAAAAAGGGUCUAUAUGGAACUAUUGAUGUCUAGCAAAGAAGAGGUUUCCAGGACACACUGUCAGUUCUUUUUUUUGUUGGUUGAUGUUGGCUAUUACAUUCAAAUUGAGAAUCAAUCAGGAACUUGUUGGUGGACCUUACACAUUGUAGGCUAGGCUUAUUCAGUCCCACCUGUUUGUGUCCCCUCUAUUUACAUAUUUAGAUGUUUUUCUGACUGCAAUACUACUGAUGAGAAGUACUAAUCUCUUUUUGUCCUUAUUUUCUAAUAGGGUAUUACCAAUUAAUUUUUAGUCUAUAUUUGUUGCAUGAUGAAUCAAAUCAUUUGAACAAAACCAAUUCAUUGUAAUUAUGAGUUUCAUGUUUUGAUCAUGAGCAAAAACCAGCCGUGGCCAGUAAUAAUCAAAGCGGUGCACCCCCUUUCUGCUUCGGUAAAAAGAGUUACUAGUCAAACCAAACAUGACAGAUUGUUUCCAAAUAAAACUCUGAAUAAUUCUUUUUGUUUUUAUAAGCUUACGGCAUAAUGUAUUAAUUUUGUCAUGGAGAUUUUUGUGUCUCCGUACAUACAUAUAUUUAUUUGAAGAAAUGAAUUAUAUGCUGUAUCGUAGCUAUCAUUAUGCCUUUGAACAAUGCAUUGGAGGACCUAAACUUCAUCCAGUGACAACGGUACAUAUAUAGGUUGAAGCGAAAUCAUUCUAUUUCGUUCCUGUAAUGCACAAUGAAAGACUAUUUUUUCAGAUCAUGAUGAUCUCUAAUAGGUCCGACAAUCACAUAUUUUUUACAUCUCUUUUCUAGUAUUGGCAAAUGAAUUAUGAAAAGUAAUCCUAGAGUUUUUGCCUCUUUAAUAUCUCAUGUCUGUGCUCGAACUUGUACCUAAAUGAAGGUCUAUAAGCUAUAGAGACAUGGAUGAGUUUAAAAUGUUUUUAAUUGGAGAGUUUCGUGCGUGGGUGAAUAGUAUAUAUAUGGGUUCUGAUUGUCUUCGCAUUGAUAUAAUUGCUGUUAUGCAUUCAUCUUCUUUAAAACAAAUUAUGCACUAGUCCUAUAUACAUAUAAAUGCAAAGAAUACAAACGUAUUAAAUCUCUAAAGAUUUACAUAUCUAGAUCCGACAAAAAUGAGAAGGUAAAUAAUGGCUUUAGGGGAUGAAUGUGUGUGUGGUCCAUUCACAUUGAAACUAAACGCAACGCUCGGUUUGUGAGGACCAUUUCUCUAUAGUUGUACAUAUUAUUCGCAAAUUUCUAAAACUUUAGGCACUUAAUGUGUUUGUAUCACCAGACUGGCCUUUUGUUUACUAUUUAUAACUUUUGAUUAAAUUUUCUUUCAAGUAUUUUGAACGGCUAGUAAUUUUCGGAAGUCAUGUCUACGAUUUAUCAAAUUCAAACAGUUUGUUCAACAAAUAGCCAUUCCCCUAUCAAUCAAUAAAUUUGAUUUGGCAGUUUAGAAAAAUAUAUUUAUCUGACUACACAAGAUUUGACAGUGUCAUAGAGAUAUCUACUUAUGCUGUCAAAGUCAUCCAAAUUUUCUAAAUAUAAUUUGUGUGAUUGUUUAUCUUUCUAUUUCUAGCUCUCACGAUUUUUAAGUGCAUAUAUAUAUUUGGACUAAGAUUCGCAUGGAGGAAACGAUUAGAGGUACAUAAUACCAAAUAAUAAAUGUUGGAACAAUUUUCUUAGUAGACGUCAAUUCGAGUCAUAGGAAAAACAUAUAUGGGGGAGCUAGAAACCAAAUUCAGAAGUAGAAUUACAACAGUUUGAUGUCCAAUGUAUUACAUUUUUACUUUAUGUUUUAUUAAGCAUAUCUCUAUAAUAUAUUUGAAAACUCAAAAUAUUUUCAUAUGUAUUAUUUUAUAUUAAUUUAUUAAAAUCCUUAAUAAACUAAAAAUAUUAUACAAGUGCUAUGACUAAAAUGUAAUAUUUUGAUUUCUUUCUGCUUGAUAAAUUUCGAAUCAGUUUCUUUUCGUUUUAAUUUAUUUUUAAUUUUUACAAUUUUUAGCAAACAACAUAAUAUAUAUUAAAAAUAUUUUUACUAUAAAUCUGUUUUGAUCAAGUGAUUAGAAACGGAAAUAAAAAAAAGUAAAUAUCAUAAGGUAAUCAUAUGAUUUAUGAUUUUUUGAAAAUGUUUUUCUAUGUUACGACAUGAAGCCAAAUAAUUAAAUCAAACAAUAUGUGCAAAAUUAAAGUAUGACUAUCACAUGAUCCAACACUACAACAGAACAUACGAUUUAAGGAGGAACAUUACAAUAGAAAUUUAUCAUUGCGUAUUAGCUAUAGUUUUUAAGGAAUUGUGACCUUCUGAGCAGCACUCACAAUUUUUUUAACAAAUUUGCGAAGCUAAAUUUUCCUCAAGAAAUUAUGAGGCAAUUUGAAAGGGAAUUCCGAUUCUUCCUACUCGUCGUACUUUCCUCGCAAGUACUGAAAGUUGAAAUACAUUUUCAUUGUGAGUACCUAAAUUUUUGUGAGGAAAGCAUAAGAAAAUUCCUCGAAAACUAACUAUCUGUCAUAAUUCCUUCGCAAAGAUCUCUAAAAAAAAUUAGUUAAAAAAAAGAUCUUUAAAAAUUCUAUAAAUAGGUGAACGCGAUUAAAGAUCAUUUCUCAGCAAAUGAGAACUGCAAAAAGAAAAAGAAAAAGAAAAAGAAAAGAGACAAGAAAUUAGGAGUAGGAGAAAUGUCUUGAAAACAUGAAAUAUAUUCAUUACGGGUGGGAUGUAAAAUCACAGAGAUUUAGAAACUGGGAAAGUGACGUAAGAGUACCGUGCCAGAUUACGAAUUGUUACACCGUGUAACUAACCAGCCAUUCACGAGCAGUGGGAGACCUAUGGAACAAUUUAACGGGGGACAAACCAGUAAUAAAAAGAAAAAAAUAUAUAUAUAUAUAUAUAUGCAGGUUAAUAUGAGAACUGAACACUUCUUUUCGGGGGCCAAGAGACAUUUUGAACCAAUAAUGGUGUUGAAUCUUUAAAGAUUUUUCUUACACUUAAAGUUUUUAGACCCAAGUUUUUAUCAUAUUUAAGGGCUUCAUUUGCCUUAGUGCGUCCGUCUUUGUGCUCAAGGAAACAUAGUAAAUGUUCUAUCUAUAUAAAAAAUGUUAAAACAAGUUAUAUAUUGUGAAGAGCAUAUAUAUAAUAGAUGAUUUAGACCAAACUACUAUAUAUGGUUCUCGCAUGGGGGAAGAUGCAUUAUCAGUACGGAUCAGAGAUUUGAGCAUAAUACUAGUUAUGAUGAGAUCAUGGACAAUAUAUAUUUGAAAAUGCGAGUGAUGGGUAUGAGUAGGAAAAAUAGGUUUCAUGAUAUGAUUACAAGUUCAUUUCAUGAAGAUGCAAAUGCAAUUCUUGAUAAUAAAGAAGAACUAAUGUUAUUGCGAAACAAUUUUAUGAUAUGCUAAAAACUAUCUACGAUAGACGUAGAUAAUACUUUCUAGAUUAUCACUAGCAUCUAUGAUGAUGAAAACUAAAAGUGUUUAUAUAUCUAAAUAAAAAUUAAACGUGAUCAUAAUCUAUAAUAGACAAUACACUUUUAUGAAAUAUUUUAGUCUAAGACACCAAUAUAGCAUAAAUGACGUUUUAGGGUGCAGAUGAAGACACCAAUUAAUGGUAACGUCUUCGAUCGCCAAAACGCCUCCUUUGUGGUUAGCAAGUAAGGACGAACGCUUUUGGGAUACAAGCAGACAAACAACCUUUGCAUGUUAAAAGCUGGAAGUGGCUCCUGCUUUUAUUUAUUUAUUUAACGCUAGGUGUAUUAUAUCAAAAUAAAGAGAUCAUAUCAGAGUUUGCAGGUUAUCCUCCACAGACAGAGGAAACUUGCGAUGGAGCAUAAGUAAAAAAUGGGAUAAAACCCAAAAGGAAACAGAGUAUGCAGGGCAAAUUAAUCUCAACAGAGACCAUGUGCACCAAAACAUACGACAGGAUUCAGGAAACACCCCAUAGGUUAGAGACCAGCAGCUUCCUCUUCCAAGAUACGUCUAAACCACCCAGGAUCACACGAGCAAUGUGCGAUUGAUAUCUUCUAUCACGUGUAACACUCAUCACAAGUGCAGAGGCUACCCUGUUUCGUUCCACACCUAUGUGUUCUAAUCUCCAGAGAACAAAUGAAGGCAAGAGAUGGAGAAUAUUACCCAAUCAGCUCGUGGAACAAUAGGAACUGACGAGGAUAUAUUAAAGCUUCCCGUCCUAGAACUAAAAAAUAGUAAAGAAUAAAAAUAAAAUAAACUUAAAAUUAUUAGGUUAUGUCAUUUUAGUUAUUUCAUUUAGUUACAAUCAAUUUUUUUAUUAUUUAACUAUCAAAAUUAUAUAAAUAAUAAUAUGAAUUAAAAUUUGUAGGGUUUUAAAUUUUAUUAAACAAAACCAUUAUAGUGAAAAAAAUUAUAUGGGUGUUGAAUUAAUAGGUAGAAGAAAGAGAUGUGUUCUCGAGGUGUUGCUUCGAACAAGGAUACGUAUUGGGGGUUGAUGAAUGGGCUCUGCAAGGCAGGGAAAGUGUGCGAAGGGAUGAGAUUGUUGGAGGAGCUGCGAGUGAACGAGUUUUAGGUUGAUGAAGCGAUGUAUACGUUAUAGAGCAGGAAGGGUAGAUAAUGCUUUGGAGGUGGUGGCUGAGAUGGUUAGGGAAGGAUACGUUAAUGACGGUAAAGUAUUUGAAAGAUUAGCUGAUGCGUUGUCUGAAGUAAACCGGGAAGAAGAGGCAGCGAUGAUGAUUACAUUCGUUGUUAAGAGCGGCGUCAAACCAAGUUCUUUGUGGCCUGAGAUGAAGAUGUUGUAAAGGGAGAGGAGAACUUAUUAACAGACUGAGAUUACAGGUCUUUGGAUAUGGGGAAUAAUGAUGAAAAUGGUGGGGAGUAAUUAUAAACAGGAACAUGCUGAAGAAAGUUUAGUAGCAGUUGAUAAAGAGGAUGAACAUUAGUUUGAUUAGGUCCAUACUGUAUGAUUGUUUCCAUCUAUAUUUGCUUACUUUUCACUUUUCUUCUUAACUUCACUUGCCAAAUAACAUUGGACACACAUUUUGAAUACAAAAACAUUUUAUUUUGCAAUCAGAACAAUCCUUACUCGGAAUAGAAAAAUAUUAUUUCUCGUUAAACAAAGCUACUCAUUUCCCCCAUAGAAAAAAAAAAAA